rnacentral:rRNA from 1 species
AGUGAACGCUGGCGGCGUGCUUAACACAUGCAAGUCGAACGAGAACGGAUUAUAGCUUGCUAUAAUUGUCAGCUAAGUGGCGCACGGGUGAGUAAUGUAUAGGUAAUAUGCCUCUUACUAAGGGAUAACAAAUGGAAACGUUUGCUAAUACCUUAUACUCCUUAUUAACAGAAGUUAAUAAGGGAAAGAUUUAUUGGUAAGAGAUUAGCCUGUAUUGUAUCAGUUAGUUGGUGGGGUAAUGGCUUACCAAGACUAUGACACAUAACUGGUUUGAGAGGAUGAUCAGUCACACUGGAACUGAGACACGGUCCAGACUCCUACGGGAGGCAGCAGUGGGGAAUAUUGCACAAUGGACGAAAGUCUGAUGCAGCAACGCCGCGUGGAGGAUGACACAUUUCGGUGCGUAAACUCCUUUUAUAUGAGAAGAUAAUGACGUUACCCACAGAAUAAGCACCGGCUAACUCUGUGCCAGCCGCCGCAGUAACAC